rnacentral:lncRNA from 8 species
UGGGCUGUAAACUCAGAAUGUUCUCCCUGUACUUCCCACGCUGCCCACUUGGGGAAGGUAGAAAAUAAGCUGUACCAUUAACCAGCUCUGUACUGGCUUCUCCUGCCACUUCUGCUCAGGUAUGACGCACCUGGGUGAAAGUUUUGUUAACAACUCAUGAGGUAAAUGGAGUCCCCCCUUCCAUUUGUGGCCUGGAAUUAUUUGUGUGAGAAGGCUGCAGCUAUUACAAUGUCAGAUGGGCUGAACAACACUCUUUAUAAAGAUGGAUACAGGCCUGAAGCGAGACAAGUCACCGAACACAUGAAGUAGAGAGCCUUUCCACCAAACCUAUCCAAGAGGUGUCCAACAACAGGUAAGAGUCAUAAACUUCCACACCCAGGUUGUAGAGUGUAGGCACACACUCUUGAGAAAGGCCCCAAUUCAAUCUAUUUUCACACAAUGCAGUAAAGGAAGCACACACUGCAAGUUCAUUCAGAAUGUUUAUGCUGUCUAGGUGUUAACCACGCUACAACUGACACACUCCUCAAGCUAUUUAUCCCAUGGAC